rnacentral:misc_RNA from 1 species
GGCCGCCGUUUAACACCCGCUCUGCCGUCGCUUGCCACCGUCUGCUUCUCUCUACUGCCGUCGGAAGGCGCCGUUAUCUUUUUCCUUCGGCGCCUCCUAUUUUUUUUUCCCUCCUGUCCACUUUACGCUACUUUGUCCAAUGUUUUGAGUAGUCUUUAGUAGUUUGUUUUGUGAUUUUGUUUUAUUUUGCGUUGCUUGCAGUUCUUGCAGAUGAAUUGGGCUGUGCUGCUCUUCGACUGAUGAAGACGAUCCUGUUUAUUUUGUGCUCCUUCCGGGCUGGGCUGAUCUUUGCCUGAUGUCGGUGAUCCUUUUGUCCACCAUAUUUGAUUGACAGCUGUAGGCCAAAUCUCAGAUCUAUGAUGGAAUUUUGUGGUAUUUUGCUCCAAUUUGUUUUUAAUUGGACAAGAUAUGCUGUGAGAUCCUCGGGAAUCAUACUUGACAGGACUUCGUCACGUUGUGGCU